CGAUGUUCUGGCCUCAUUUAUAGAUGGAGACCAUUUUAAAAAUCAUCCUCUUUUCCAGAUGCAUAGACAUGCUUUGCGAAUACAGCUUUACUAUGACGAAUUGGAAAUUGUGAAUUCUCUUGGAUCUAAAACAGGAAUCCAUAAAUUGGAUGUUUUUUAUUACACAAUUCAAAAUAUUCCAGCUUAUAUAAAUUCCGAUUUAGGAAGUAUACAUGUUUUACUGUUAUGUUCUGAUGCAGAUACCAAAAAAUAUGGAUUUGACAAAAUUUUAUCUGUCUUUUUGAAUGACUUAGAAAAAUUAGAAAGUGAUGACGAAGUUAAAAUUAUGCUACAAUUAACUACAAUUUUUGAUCCUUAUUUUAAUGCAUUUUGCAUUGAACUUGAAAAUGCAGAUUAUGCUUCUCAUUUUAUCUCGGUUUCUUCACUUGCUCAUUUUCAACCAUUUUGUUCAUCGACAGAAUCUAUUUCUAAUGGUCUUUAUAUCAGUCUUCGCCAUAUUAUUUUGUAAAAAACAAUCUAUCAAUGGAGAAGCUCUCUUAGAGCUUUCAGAAUCAGAUUUAAAAGAACUACAAAUUAAACUAGGACCCAGAAAAAUAAUAACAAAGUUUCUUCAUGAAUUAAAAUGUAAAUCAACUGUAAUAUUGGAAAGCAUUCCCAUUAAUAAUCUACAUAAAAUUCUACAAGAAGAAAAAAACGAAGAAAUUAUAAUGUUUGAAAAUACUGCAACAUCAAGCCAACAUUUAUCACAAAAUAUAUUCAAUGAAAUAACCGGUUCUAUUGGCCCUAAUAAAGUACUUUCCACAAAAAAUUUACUAGAAGAUCAUCCCCAACAGUUUUCAUCACAAUCAGAAGCGAAUUUAAAUAUAUUCUCGCGUUAUGGAACUGUGGAGAAAACAUUUGAAAAUCAUGAGCAAGGUGUCUCUAUAUUGAAAGCUAUUCGUAAAGGAUCUUUUAAUGAAUUUGAUAGAAAAGCCCUUGUGCGUAUUGUUGUGGCUAAGCUUAUUUUAGCACAAAACAAUUAUUAUCCUCCAGAUGAAGUCAAAGUAUCACUUGCAAGUGCCAUCGUUUCCGAAUUUCCUCUAUUAAAAAAUAAUGUGACAGGAUGUAAUGGUUAUGAACAUUAUUAUGAUCCCAAAACUAGACAAGGAUUCAUCGAAUUUCGAUUGUGGACAGUUCGCACAAAACUUUCCCCUCAAAAAAAGAAAUAUUCUUCAAUGAAAAGAAAAGCAUAAUGCUUGGAGAAAAGUUCCAGUGUUUCAAAUAAUGAUGUAGUAGUACUCGACAAACAUGUUUUGGAGGAAAAGAUAUUGUGGAUGAAACAUAAGUUGCCAUCUGAUAGUAACAAAGAAUUAAUCAAGAAAUGUCUCAAGGAAACUUUCUCAAAUAGAAGACAAUGGAUUAUAAGCUCUGGUCCUGUUAUAUCAAAUAUUUUUGAAAAAUAUCCGC